CGCCGGGCGGAGGAGUGGCCCUGCGGUCUCCCCACCCCUUUGCGCUUCCUACCCGGCUCGCGUCUGGGAGACCCCGGGAGUCAGGAUGCCCGAUCCCUCAGCGAUGCUGCGGGCCAGGUUCCUGGGGCAGCGACUGCUGGGACACCUGGGUCAGGGAAGCUGGGAAGUGUGGCGUCUGGAACUCAGUGUUAUUCGUCCAUUCGGGAACCUCUGGUCCCGGGGAAUGAUGGAAUGAUGGAAUGAUUUCCAUACACCCGACCCACUCCCCUGUGAGACCAGUGGUCUGUGUUACGUGCCAUAUGGUACAUGGCGGUGCUCAAGAAUCUUAAGGCUGUGCUGUCAGAUUAUUGUAGCUAUUUAGAUUUAAAUUAAAUUAGAAGUUCAGUGUCUCAGUUGCACUAGCCGUAUUUCAAGGUCUCCGUGUGUGUUUGGAGGAUAGUGUCUGGCUAGUGGUAGCCAUCCUCGACAGAGCAGAUAUCCCAUCAUUGUAGAAAGUUGUGCUGGACAGUGCUGCCUUAAGGCCUGUUGGGGCCCUGGAGGAAGAUUGUAUAGGUGAGUGCUGGGCAGUAACAGGACCUGGCCUGCCUGUCCCCAUUCCACCUCUCCCAGGCCUGUCCAGAGACUUAGGCCCAGAGGGGAUGCCUGCAGACCAGCGAGGGUGCUCAAAGAGCUAGCAUCAGGGGGAUCUCGAAGCCAUGGAACCAGAGGGGCCACCAAGAUGUUGCUGUCAUCAUCGCGUAAGAAGUCAGACCCUUAGGGAGAAGGGGCUUUUUGGCCUGGAAUCCCACCCACCUCUCUCCCCUGAUCAGUCUCCCUGUGGCAAAGUUGGGGCCUGACUCACAAUGCACUUGACCUCGAUGGCGUCCCCGAGUAGCGUUUGAUCCUUCAGGGUUCAGUAUCCCAAUCUGUCACCCAUGUGAUCCUGCCUGCCCUCCUCCCCGGGUGGGGGGCUGGGUGGGAAGGACGGCUGAGUGGGAGGACACAUGUUCACUGAUUCAGAGCACCUGCACUGAGGCAUCUCUUCAGUUUUUCCUAUGUGCCAUCUUAGCUGGGGGGACACAAUCUCCUUGUCGGGGCCCCACCCCAAACUCGCCAGUCACCUGGAGGAGGGGUUUCAGUCCUGCGUCCGAGACUCAAGAGGGAAGAGAACUGGGGUCUGAUCAGUCCUCGAGGCCUUCGGGUGGCCCAGCGCCUGCCCAGGUGCCAAGGGCAGAGUGCUUUAGAUGGUACUCCCAGUUUGACCAGCCUUUGGGGGGGCCGGUGGGGCUGGAGUCAGAAGACCUUCAAGAGGGCUGUGUGUGGGCACCCACACUAGCCUGCCCUAGGGACCCGCAGGCAGGUCUACCAGCCACCUGCACACUCAGGGUCCAGACAUCACCUACAUAGAGGCCUUCUCGGCAUCCAUUUCCUUCUUCUGUGGCCUAAGGAAGGAUUCUGACUUUCCUGGGAUGGGAUUCCCAUUUUUCCCAGAGUUCACGGGAGCCGUCCAAGUAGGUGGAGAUUCCCUGUCCCCCAGCUCCAGAAUCGGGCUUCUGAUUACGUCCAGUCAGUGACGCCUAUACCCCCAUGACUGCUUCGGGAAAGGGCUUGGGCUGCCAUGUGAACCAGAGAGGAGAGAGGGGCUUGGAAACCUCUGUCCUCUCCUCAUGAGCACAAAGGGAAGCCAGCCUUGGUUGGGCACAGCUGAAGAAACGGUCCUCGAAGAUAUUGCUGGGCCACUGGAUCAAACCAAACCUGAAGAGCCUCCAGCUUCUGGACUGUUCGGUUUCCUGAGCCAUCCAAUCACCCUUUGCUGUUGGAUAUUUGAGUCGACACCACCUGCCCACCACACCAUGGCCCAGUGGUUUUCAAAGCGUGGUGGGAACUUGGUAGCAAUGCACAUUCUCAGGAGUCCACCUACUCAGGACCUGCUGAAGCGGAAACCCUGGGAGUGAGACACAGGAAGCUGUGUGUUACCAUGCCCUCCGUGUGAUUCUGAUAAAAGAUAAAAACCUAACCAUCAUUUAGUUGAUCUAAAAAAUUCAUCCCGGAGGCCCCAGAGGGGGAAGAGGAGGAGCCCGAGGGUCCCCUUAGGGAGCAGGACCUGAAGGAGGCCUGCAUCGAGCUCGCCCAGGGUGUGCAGGAGUGGCAGGACGGCUGCGUCUACCGAGGAGAGUUCAGCAGGACAUGAAGCUGGGAUGCGGAGCAUUCUCUCGGCCCACGGGCGAGGCAAGUCGUUCCUGGUGCUCUCCCCUCUCCGGCCCCGGUUCAGCCAGCCACGGCCUGUCCCUCUCCUUCGGAGAGGCACGUGCUGUGAGCUCAUAGAUCCACCGAUGGGAAGGAUGCUAGGCAAAUGUCCUUCCUAUUUGAGAAACACCCAGAGAGACUUCUGAGAUCACGUCCGAGGUUCGCCUGGGUGUCCACAGGCUGCAGCUCGGGAAACUGACUUCAGAAGAUAAGUUCUUAUUCUAGGCAAAUAUUUUAAAAUUGCGAAUUACUGUCGUGAGUUGUAUAUUUGUAUUGAUGAAAUUGCCUUGUAUUUAAGCUCAAACAGAAAAAGUGGAUCUUCCUAAAAGUGAAAGUGCACUUUUGCGCCCCUGCAGCAGGCGGUGUCAGGACCUCAGUGGGGACUCUGAGGGGCCCGUGGCAGGAGCUGUUGGCGCCACCUGGCGUCCCCGCGAGGGUGGAGCAGCCGUGCGUCUGGCGAACCUGGGGGUAUGCUGUGGCCUGGGGGCUUAGUGCGCCUCCCCCAGGGGCAAGCUGGCUUCUGAAGGCUUCCCAACAAUGUGCUGCAGGUGCGCUGGUGGAGGAUUCUGCCCUGCUUGCAGGGUUGUGUGACUCAGUGGAGACUUAAGUGCAUCUUUUGCUUGCAGAUAAUAAAAACCGUCUGGAGGCACUGUAGGGGUGUGUGCGUUUGGGGGGUUGGAAAAGCAUCAGAGGGCAGGACACCUGGCACUGAAGCUCUUCUGGGAAGCAGGCGCUGGCUGGCACAACCUCCUAGGGGCUGUGUAGGGUUCCGGCUCUGCCCCUCUCUCUUCCAGGCUUGGUUCUGCCUGUGGGGCCCCGGUUCACCUGGUUUUGGCGCCCAAGGCUGGGGGACCUCGCCCAGCUCCUCACCUCCUGCACUUAGUCUCCCGAGUCCAGGGGAGAGCGGGGCAGGGAGGCGAGCGGGGGUCUUCGGAUGGAACCUGGGGAGCGGUGGGGGCAGGGAGGGGACAGCAGGAGCAGCGGCAGGCAGAGGCGGAGCUUCUGGGCCCCCAGCCCAGUCCCCCUGGAGUGCGCCCCCAGCACGGAGGAGCCUCCAGACCUCACGUGAGGACAGAGGCCGCGACCCGAGCCCGUGCUGAGCUUCUGCCAAAGAAUGCACGGCAUCGUGACCCCGAUGACCAAGCGCUGAUUUUUGUUCAGCAUCUGUUUCUUUAGUCCUUGGCUACUUCCUCUUUUACCCAACACUGUGGUGUCCAGUGGUCAGACAGCCUGUGUUCCCAGCCGUGGUAGGUUGGGGCCCACUGACCGGCCCUCCUGGCCCCGGGUCCUCGCCGUGCAGGGGGACCACAGCAGGUGGAGCCUCGGCUUUGUCACUGCCUGGGGGGACGUCUGGGUCCACUGAGCAGGUGCUCCUGCAGCCAUGGCGGCUCCUGAACCAGAGAGGCCAGGAGGACGAGAGGGCGUGCAGGCCGAGAGCAGCGGCUUUAAACGUGUCAGCUGUCUUUGAGGAACGGGCCCAAGCGCAUCAGUCCGGCUGGUCAGAUGAGGCUCCGGCACCGUGUGGAGGAAGGAUGGAGAGGUUCCUCCAAAGCUGCACCCUCCUGGGAGUGGACAGAAACCCUCUCUCCUGCAGGCGAACCGACGAGCCCCCGGGGGGGUGGAUUCUCCUCACAGUUCUACACAAAUGGUCUGCAACGUGGGACUUCUUUUCAGUUGGAUAGACUCUGAUAGGCCCCCCCAAAUCAUACAAAUGGAAUGAAGGUGGGCAUCAGAUGGGCUGUGCCCCGCCCGGCGCCUCACUGCUCAUUGUGUCCCUGCACUGGUCAGGAGUAGUAACUGGCAGGACCAGGUCCCCCCACAUGGGACUGGAAAGGACCCUUGUAGGCUGCUGUAACUGCAAAGUCCACCUUCAGGGCUCACGCAGCCUCAGGCUUGGCUGGGUCCAGGGGUUCCAGUGACUCUAUCAGGCCCUCUCUCUCCCAUCUCCAUGUGGACAGCCAAGUUUGACCUUCUGCCAUGAGGCAGAAGGGGGUGGUGUCGGUGUCACACCUUCCUGCAAGAGAGAAAGGGCCCCAGUGGACACUGGUGAGGCUCGGGGACGCGUCCCGUGGCCAGACGCAAAUCGAGGCUGGAGGCGGGCUUGGGAGCCUUCGCUGGGCCAGGCCUGGUCACGUGUGCCAGGGGCUGGGCUCAGUCCUCCGUCCACCUGCGGGGACUCGUGUCCAUCACCAGAGGAAGAGAAGGGGCGCUAAGCAGGCUGCAGUCACCGUCCCUCAGGCGCAGGGUGGCCUGUGAGCACGGCCGCCGGCCGCCUGAGAGCCCAGCCGCCUGCUUCUGGUGGGGAAGGCGGCUGUCUGACUCGCGUGAGAGUCAAGUCUAGUGACUGAAAAGUGCUCGGAAUGGACAUGGCGCUCUGAUUUCCUCCUGGGGCCCCAGUAGAGGGGCACCUGCACCACACUCACCCCCCCGCCCGGGGCUCGGGACCCGAGCACAGACGGCCCACGUCCAUGGCCUCAGGAGCGAGCAGUCUUAAGUUAGGGCCACGCCAGCGACCCCGGGGCUAGCGGCCCCCCACUCUCUGGGCCAGCCUGCUGACGUGGACCUGAGCGGGGGUGACGGGGUGAGAGCGGAGCCCGGCGUGGGGCUCCCGAGUGGAGACAGCUCCCGCCCAAACCCAGGCAGUGCCGACACCUCCCCAGACUCCCCCGCCUGAGCCGGGCAGGAGGGAGCGUGGCCAUCGGGGGGCCGAGCGCCUGGCACCCGCUAUGCGUGAUUCGGGUGACCCCUGGCACUUGAGGGGGGCCUGCUGGCCCGGCCCCCUGUGAGCCCAGUCAGCCCCGCAGCCCCUGUUCACUGUGGCCCAGGCCUGGAGGCUCAGCUGGGAGGGCGUUCUGGAAGGUUCUGGGGCGGUGCAGGGCGGCUCCUCCAGCAGCCGCUGCGGAGCUCUCUGUUCACAGUCCUGCCACGGGCAGCUCUGCCGGGACCACUGCCACGGCCUGGGCACGUGCGUGUGGCCGGAUGGCUCCAGCUGCAUGGGCACGCUUUACCUCAGCGCCUGAGAGGGCUACGGCACCACAUACCUGAAGACGAGGCUCUUCCAGGUGAGGGGAUGGCCCUGGUGUUCAGGCCACCGGACAGCAGCACAGGUGCUCCUGGGGAAGAUUGUUUGUUUGACGAGAAGUAGCUUUCUUGGUCUUAGUGAGUAUAAUAGUAUCGUCAUAAGGCACAGUCGUAAGAUGCGUGAAAAGAAAAUGAAAACAACAGGAGAAAAAAUGAAAGCUGGUCGCUGUUCUGCUCCCCGGAGCAGGGACGGGCUAGCAGCACGUUGUGUAUCCUUAGGUUAAACAGUAGACUCACCGAAGAUAUUUACCUCUUUACACAUAAACUGGCUCAGGCUACACUUACUGUUUUGAGACUUGCCCUUUUUCCUGGAGAAGAUUCCUGGUUUUGCAAAUAGAGACACCUCCCCCGCCCCCAUCUUACUCAUUCCAGGAAAAGCCCCGCUUCAGCACACAGAGCUGGAAGCUCUGACAGCAUAGAGCUGUGUGACAACCACCACAGUCAAGGUGCGGAACAGUCCCAGCAGCCCCGGAACGUCACCCGUGUGCCCUUGGAGCAGCUCUGUCCUCCCACCCCCAGCACCCAGCCGUUGCGUUUUUGCCUAUAAUUUUGCCAGGUCAUAAGACUGUCAUGUGUCUUCUUCUGCGUUUAUGGUUUUAGCUCUUACCUGUAGGUCUGUGUUUGAGUUAAUUUUUGUGUUUUUGUGUGAAGUAAGGCUCCCUCCUCCUCCUCCACGUGUGGACGUCCAAGUGUUCCAACUCCAUCUGCUGAAAAGACUCACUUCUCCACCGCCUAGCCUUUGCGUCUUUGUGAAAAAUCACAUCUGGAAACUAUAAAGCAUCAGUGAAUGUAAGGGAUGAUUAUUGUUCAUGGUUGGCUUUUUUUUUUUUUUUUGAGUUGUAGGAAAACUUAGCAAUUGCCUGAUCCUUGGAUUCUGAACCUGGGCACCCUGGAUGGGAGGCGCAUAUUCCCAAACUCCCUGAAAUUGUGUGCAAAAAUUAGUGGGAAUGGGCAUUUUAGGGGAAUGAGGAUCCAUCGCCAGCAAGUUUUCAGAGGGGGCUGUGACCCAGGACAGUUAAGAACCACAAUUCCUUUGCCACGAGGAGGAAACUGAGGCCUAGAUGUCAUUUGGGACCCGUCGCAGCCAAUUUGAAAUCUCUGUUGAAUCCCUGGGAUAUGUGAGCUGUUCUCUGCAUAUUCAGGGUAACGACACUCCACUGUUUGGCUUCUAUUCUGAGUCUUUUCCCCAUGGGUCGCCUGAGGGGUGGUUGACGCACAUGGUACGGUGGCCCCCAAUAUAAAGGAGCUGAAAGAAGGAGCGGAUGUGUUCUCUAGGAUCACGAAGCCUGUUUAAUCUUUGGGCCAACAGCUUAUGUUCUGGUGCCUGACUACCUUCCUGACUGUCUCACUGACCAUUUUCCACGACCACCGUUGCCAUCGUUCCUCCUGUUUUGUAUUCUUAGUUUGUGUGGUUGGCAGUGAGCAGGCUUAGUUUUAAAUGGUGCUGCCAAGUCCAGCUAAUUAAUGGUGCAGGUGGGUUUUAGCAAGCUGGCUGACUGGGCAAACUGAGCCAGGCAUGGAAUUCCUGAAGAUGUUUGGGGGUUCGUCUUUAUUAAUCGAAGGUUAACAUUCUCUGACAACUUUUGUUAGAACUUCUGCUGAACCUCAAGAUCAGUAGGUUGCAAGUGUUUCAAACCUUCACUUUUUCCCGGCCUGCUUUGUGUAUUCGCUUUGCUUGCAAGUGUGUUUACUCAGAUGGCCAAAAGGCCCGUCCGUGCUUCUUUGUUCAUUGUCAGCUGCUUUUAUCAAAUUCCAGGCCAUUAUCCAGCAAACACUAGAGAAAUUUGAACACUUGGAUUUCAAACAUUUUUUUCAGUUUGUGGAGUGGUGCUACCAGUGGUACCGUUCUAAGCAAGCAGGCACAAAGCCACGUAAGUGUUUUGUCUGUUUAGGUAUUAGCCGGUUCUGCUCUUUCAUACAAACAUCUGGAAAAAAUCCAUUGACUGUUCUCUUUACCUAGAGGGCGGAGACAAAGGAUUUCGGUUCCAGAGAAGUGACUGUUUUGGAGAAAAAUGUGUUGGUCUUUUAGCUCCUUUGUAAUUAAAUCUGGAUGUACCUCAGAAGAAUCUUAAGACUGUGUUGAUAAGAUGCUUUCCUCAGGAGAAAGGAGGAAAAAAGCAACUGGAACUCAAAGCUUGAAGUUCUGUGACAAAACAUGAGCUGUCCAGGAUAGGAGGUUGACAGGGUUUCACUACAGCGCUCUGCUCUCGCUGGAACAGAUGUCCUUCAGUGUAGUCACGGCGUGGACUCCAGAUUUCCAGAUUUUCAAGAACUGGAUCAGGGACCUGGAAGAGAUUAUCAAAGUGUGACGGGAACUUGGGAGCUGGAUUUUUUUAUAUUUGAAUUUGGGGACUGUUGUCCUUGCUUUGAGAAAAGAGACAAUGACAGCAAGCACUGCCGCCAGCGCUGUUACUGGGAAUUCGGAGACCUGAGUUUUCGCCAGACGCUCAGUGCAGACUCUGGCGAUGCUCCGCCCAAGGUGAACUCCGCCUGCAGAUGUGGCCCCUGGACUUUCGCCCAUGGUGAUUCUGCCACCUUACUACUGAAGAAGGCGUCAUUCCAGUGGACCACGUGACCCAGGAGGCAUCCAGCGAAUCAUGAUGUGGCCUUCACCUCCACUCCCGUCCUGUUCUCCCCGGAUCCAGCACAGCCCUUUGCAGGGAAGUCAACUCCUCAAGCCAAAUAGCUGAAGCUAUUUUAUCAACAAAGGCUCCAUUUCUUCCAUGAGCGUGCGUUUUGUUUCUUCAGUUAAAGCCUCAGAGACACACAAUACAUUUGGGCCAGGGGAUGUUUAGUUGUCAGCGCUGUCUGAAGAAUGGCAGCGUCUUUUUGAGAACCACAUCGGACCAUGCCCCACUAUCUUAAAAGACUGAAAUUCAGGCAAUAUCUAACCUGCACCCCAUUCUUUUCCCGUGUCAGAUCUGUAGUAGCCUGCUGAAUGAGUAAGCAGAUGUUCUGACCCACUGGGAUUAAAAGAAGGGCACAGUGAACUCCCAGCAUCUUCUUUGAGAUUACUCAGGAACCAGAACUUUUCACACAAAUGGAAGAAAUUCUACCAAGGAAUCCGUUUACCUAACAGCAUCUCACAAAGCUCCAAUCAGAUUCCAGAAAACGCCUCUUGAUACAUCCAGCGCUUUGUGAACAACUUAUUUUUGUUGUUAAACCAAUUAGAUCGUGGGUUUUCCAAAGUCUUUGUGGCCAUGAAGCCCUUCAAGUGAAAACUUUAUGGAAGCCCAGAGUAAAAGUGAAGCUGCUCUGGAGGAAGCAGAAGUGGGGGCCUACAACCUGCCACAAGCAUCUUACUUUACCACCAUGGUGACAUCUAAGGAGACUUCUUUACAGCAACUAGAAUUCUUCAGAACACAGUUUGAAAACCACUGCCCUAGACAACAGUAUGUUCGACCUGAAUGGCAUUCUGUCCUGUACCUGUACCCAGCACCGUCCAUGUUCAGUUGAUGCUGAACAUUCUUAGGAAUAGUUACCGUGGGCAAACUCAGAAAAGUGCAGGAAGAUGGGCAUACCUUUGCCCCCCAGAGUAGUCAUAUGGGCUGAAGAGGUGGUAUCAAAUGGACCUAGAGUAAUAGCCCUCUACCCACAGAUGGACUGCCAGUGAUUCCUGGAUUUGAUAUAGCCAGAGAGCAAUUCAUCUAUACUCUACACUGACAAACCCCCUUACCCAGCUUCUUUCACAAACGCCAGAGGCUCUAGUGGUGCUUGAAACACAUGACCUUGAAGUCUUGAUCCUUCUUGGAUACGUGAAUCACCAGGUAUUGGAGCUGACGUUGAUGCUGAUGUCUCAUUGAAGCCAUAUUAGACCAACUGUACGUUGGACCUCCCGUCCUCAGCCAUGGUACUCUACUUCGUGUGCAAGGGUUAACCAUAAACUAUGAAAGCAGAAUUCAAAGACUGGCAACAUUACCUGAAAGGGUACCAGGUCAUUAUUCAUCUUCUCAAACUAUGUCACUAUCACUCCACCAGUGGCAGUUACACUUCUUGGUUUUUAUUCAGUUUAACUGCUGUUUCCAGGGUGAAUGAGCUAAUAACGGUUGAAAAAUCGCUAAAACAUUUCCUCCAUCACUGGCAUAUCUGCCUAUUCUCCAAAAUUAUGAAUACUCAGCUCUACCUACAUGUAAUACCUGAGCCACAAGAGACAAUCUCUGAACAUCCUUUCUCGUGUGUGUGAUUUAAAAUGUGGCCAUUUCGAACAUUUUCUUCCAGCCAAUGAGAGAUUUUAAGAUGGAUCUUUUGAUGUCUGGUGCCAUUAACUGUUGGUGUUAAUGAUGUUUGGAGGUAGGCCUUUUGACCAGGCCGUGGUAGCUUACUUGGGGGGCAUCUCACAUUGCGUAUCAUCUGCCUUUUUGCUGGAAAUGGAGACUGACUUGAAAUCUACAAAGCCUGCAGCUAAACAUUUUAUCAGUACUCACGAGCUUCCUGCUGGUGCUUCCUAAUGUCACAAGACCGCAGUCCCCUGUCCUUGUGGAUGUUUUCAUGGAAUUUCAUCUGUCUCAGUGCUGUGAAUCAGAGUGGCUGACUUCAUUCCUUGUCAUGGAAUACUCUCAGGCAUGAAGACAGCUUACCUGUUCAGAAGGGAUCUGACUCACGAACUCCCAGACCAGGUCACGCAGACUUCGAUUUGUGCCACGGGAAAAGCCACGCUGCUUUACUUCAGUGUCGACUUGAGGACCCGCUGUCCUCAGCUGCUUCAAUGAAUGCGCUGGUUAAAUGUCGGAAAUGCUUCUUUACGUCUUCGUCUCUUAUCUUCUAGGCUAAUUGUGAUUCUAUGACUCUGUAUAAAUCAGUCUAUAAAUCACCAAACAAGGCCUAAGUCUGGUUACUCUGUACUGCUCACCCUCAACAAAUAAAAUCUGAUGACUAGCCUGCUUGUAUAUACAACUGUUAUUUGUAAUGAAGAAGUUAUCUACAAGCUCAGUUCUUCUACUGCCUUCAAAGUGUCAGCUCGAUUUUCUUUUUCUCCUAUACUUGACCGAUAGAGACCUUGAUCUACACUGGCAGUCAUUCCCUGUAAUCCUGUCAAAAUGAGGGACGAAAGGUAAAGACGAUCGUCUGUUCAAGAGUGUGAAGUACACUGUGUAUAAGAAUUGAUGGUGGAAAAAGCGUAAACUUCCAACCUAGUAUCUUACUAUCUCCACGCCUCAGAUCUCAUCUUUCAGCAGUACCAUUCAACCAGUCUGAGGCCUUCACUUGUUGAUGAGAUGAUUCUCAGAGUUGGGCUGAGUUACAGAAGAUGGAGACUUGAUUACCAAAGAAAGUAGGGCCAACCUUUCUCUCCCAACCCUAUCGCUCCCAGAUAUAGAAUGGGCUUCUAAACAGAGCCGCAAGUCUGGAUUAAGGAGAUAGCCUUCUCCUGCGCUGAAGGUUCUUGGGCAGAUGAGCAGGAAAAUGAAAGUUGCUGUACCUGACUGGCCCUUUAAGAUCCAGUUAAUCCAUAAACCCUGUGGACUAACCCUGGAGUACUCAGGGUUGAAACUAAUGUACAGAGCUCUGAUAUUAAACUGCCUGUUCUUCUAGCUCAUGGGCUGCCUAUUGACAUGGCUGGCCCUGCUGAAAGUACCUUACCUACUUGCCUGUUUACCUGACUCAGCCCUUGCCUGCUUUUUUGACAUGGCUGCAAUCAGACUGGCUGUCUUGAGAAGACUACAGCUGAUCUCGGUCUUUCUUAUACCCGGUUCCACCAAGGGGUUCUGAACAGAGCAGUCUGCACCUCACCCACCAGGACUUAAUGUUCACAACACGAAGGACUGUGCUGUAUACUCCUUGACCAGCAGCUUUUUUUUUUUUUAACUGCCGAGUAAGCCUCUAUGCCUAUAUAUAUUAGAUCAUCUUCAGCACUUGGGACUCUUUCCACCAGAUCUGAAGGAGUAGAGCAGAUUGAAAUCACUGUCCAUUCCUCUCUUCUACAGUAAUACAGAGAUGAAUCUGAUUUGCCAGUACUCACAGAAAUGUACCAGUUCAACUUGGCAAAAGCCUUAAAGGAACAUAAGAGGACUUUCCCGCUGAGCUUAAAAUUUACCCCUGACUUGAUGAGUAUCACAGAACCAUUUGCCAGUGGGAGGCUGGUUGUCCUGCUGCCUGUCAGCAAGACAGUUGGGCUCUCAAACUCAUGACCACUGAGUUUACUUACACUGGAACUGUAUAGUAUCUCCCAGAAUAUGCUAUUGGACGUGAUUAUUACAUUCAAGUGGAUUACAAGCCUCCUGAGUAGAAGACAAACUUGCUCCUUGUGAUUUUUUCCAGAUACAUUUAUUGUCAAGGGAGGAACCAAUGCCAGCUGUUACCAUUCAACUCUAUGAGCAGACAUGAAACUUUUUCAAUAUCUGGUCUUCCCAGUGACCAGAUCAAUCAGCACAGUCCAUCUCCUUGACCAUAGUGAUUGGUUCAGGAAUGGUCAUGUAAUUCAAGUUGGUCCAGUGAUACCCAACCCUGAGAGGUUUAGUGAACUGUGGAGGAGAAGCUCAGAAGCUCUGCUAAGUUUGCCUAGCUCUGUAGGAUGAAAAGCUCAAACCAUAUCUAAUGAACCACUCAAAGAAUGAAGCCAGUACAGAGGAAAGCAGAGCCAAAUGAUGGAGAGACUUGGGUCCUGAUGACAAGGUUUGUGCCCCUGGAUCCAGCCAUGCCUGAAGCUAGUAUAUCCCCUGGACUUUUCAGUUAUGUGAACCAAUAAAUACCCCUCUUUGCUUU